GUGAGGAAUAUUGGUCAAUGGACGAGAGUCUGAACCAGCCAAGUCGCGUGAAGGAAGACGGUUCUAAGAAUUGUAAACUUCUUUUGUGCAGGAAUAAAGUGGGUUACGUGUAACCUUUUGUAUGUACUGUACGAAUAAGGAUCGGCUAACUCCGUGCCAGCAGCCGCGGUAAUACGGAGGAUCCGAGCGUUAUCCGGAUUUAUUGGGUUUAAAGGGUGCGUAGGUGGAUUGAUAAGUCAGCGGUGAAAGUUUGCAGCUUAACUGUAAAAUUGCCGUUGAAACUGUCGGUCUUGAGUGCAAAUGAGGUAGGCGGAAUGUGUUGUGUAGCGGUGAAAUGCUUAGAUAUAACACAGAACUCCGAUUGCGAAGGCAGCUUACUGGGAUGCAACUGACACUGAUGCACGAAAGCGUGGGUAUCAAACAGGAUUAGAAACCCCGGUAGUCC
rnacentral:rRNA from 1 species